rnacentral:rRNA from 1 species
UACGUAGGGUGCGAGCGUUGUCCGGAAUUACUGGGCGUAAAGGGCGCGUAGGCGGCCUUCUAAGUCAGACGUGAAAUCCCUCGGCUCAACCGGGGAACUGCGUCUGAGACUGGAAGGCUUGAAUCCGGGAGAGGGAUGUGGAAUUCCAGGUGUAGCGGUGAAAUGCGUAGAUAUCUGGAGGAACACCGGUGGCGAAGGCGGCAUCCUGGACCGAUAUUGACGCUGAUGCGCGAAAGCCAGGGGAGCAAACGGG